rnacentral:rRNA from 1 species
GAUGAACGCUGGCGGCGUGCCUAAUACAUGCUAGUCGAGCGAACGGACGAGAAGCUUGCUUCUCUGAUGUUAGCGGCGGACGGGUGAGUAACACGUGGAUAACCUACCUAUAAGACUGGGAUAACUUCGGGAAACCGGAGCUAAUACCGGAUGAUAUUUUGAACCGCAUGGUUCAAAAGUGAAAGACGGUCUUGCUGUCACUUAUAGAUGGAUCCGCGCUGCAUUAGCUAGUUGGUAAGGUAACGGCUUACCAAGGCAACGAUGCAUAGCCGACCUGAGAGGGGGAUCGGCCACACUGGAACUGAGACACGGUCCAGACUCCUACGGGAGGCAGCAGUAGGGAAUCUUCCGCAAUGGGCGAAAGCCUGACGGAGCAACGCCGCGUGAGUGAUGAAGGUCUUCGGAUCGUAAAACUCUGUUAUUAGGGAAGAACAUAUGUGUAAGUAACUGUGCACAUCUUGACGGUACCUAAGCAGAAAGCCACGGCUAACUACGU